GCAUGGUCUUAGCUUGCUAAGGCCGAUGGCGACCGGCGCACGGGUGAGUAACACGUAUCCAACCUGCCGUCUACUCUUGGACAGCCUUCUGAAAGGAAGAUUAAUACAAGAUGGCAUCAUGAGUCCGCAUGUUCACAUGAUUAAAGGUAUUCCGGUAGACGAUGGGGAUGCGUUCCAUUAGAUAGUAGGCGGGGUAACGGCCCACCUAGUCUUCGAUGGAUAGGGGUUCUGAGAGGAAGGUCCCCCACAUUGGAACUGAGACACGGUCCAAACUCCUACGGGAGGCAGCAGUGAGGAAUAUUGGUCAAUGGGCGAGAGCCUGAACCAGCCAAGUAGCGUGAAGGAUGACUGCCCUAUGGGUUGUAAACUUCUUUUAUAAAGGAAUAAAGUCGGGUAUGCAUACCCGUUUGCAUGUACUUUAUGAAUAAGGAUCGGCUAACUCCGUGCCAGCAGCCGCGGUAAUACGGAGGAUCCGAGCGUUAUCCGGAUUUAUUGGGUUUAAAGGGAGCGUAGAUGGAUGUUUAAGUCAGUUGUGAAAGUUUGCGGCUCAACCGUAAAAUUGCAGUUGAUACUGGAUAUCUUGAGUGCAGUUGAGGCAGGCGGAAUUCGUGGUGUAGCGGUGAAAUGCUUAGAUAUCACGAAGAACUCCGAUUGCGAAGGCAGCCUGCUAAGCUGCAACUGACAUUGAGGCUCGAA
rnacentral:rRNA from 1 species